AAUGAAUUGCCUGACAAAAGGAUUACUUUGAUAGAGUAAAACAUGUAAUUUGAUUACAUUCAUUA
rnacentral:tRNA from 1 species